UAUAGCUCCUCUCUUGGCCGACGCCCCGACCCCGCCGGUCUGGUUCACCGCCGCGAGGCCACCACGCUGCUCUGGCUUCUCUCCCACCGACGUGAGGGCGCCACGCCGCCCCGUCUCCACCCCCGUCGCCGCCUGGCUGAAGCGGCGCCCUUACUCCUCCUCACUGGCGGGAUGCCGCAGGUCCUCACCUGCUCCAUCCCACCGGAUUGAGGCCACACCGCUGCACAAGUUCAUGGGUGGCGCCGCGGUAUCCAUUCAGGCUUGUGUGAGACCUGCACAGCCAGCCCUGCUCCUCGCCAUACUCCGUCCUCACAGCCGGGUCUGAUUAUCUAGAUCUGGUGAGUUUUCUUGAGCUUCGUUUCCAGCCUUUGACUGAUUACAUGUGGCUUCUGAAAAGUUUAUUUGGUGAUUCAAUAACUGAAUUGUUGUUGUAGAUGCAAGUUUGGAAAUUCCCACUCUGGCAGUUGGAUCUAGAUAGCCUGGCAUUAAGCUCGAUAUCAUCAGCGACAUGCGUUGUGAGUUGUUACAGUUCUCGGGUGUGUCCACCCAGUUGUUGACGGCAAAAGGAUUGUCCGUUGGACAUAGAAGAGAAGGUAUCUAAUAUAUGGUUGAUUCAGAAUUAAGAAUUAUCAGGUAUGCUUGAUUUCCCUUCCCUUCAGCACCAAGCUGAGUUUGUUGAGUGUAAUUAUUGUGUAUGUUGAGUGAUUGACCGGCAUUAGUUUGAUCUCAAGUGAGCUAUGCAGUUAGCUAAUUAGUUUGUGGUGAUGCAGCCACAAGUGAGGCAUGCAAUUAGAUAUUAACAUUGAUAAUGUUCAGUCACUCGAGACCAACCAAAAUAGCUAGAUUUGUUUACUUAUGAGCUCUGUAGUCUCCAUUGGGUCUGGGAAAAAUGUUGCUUUAGAUGAUACAAUUUCAUCUGUGGUUUGAUCAUACAAGUACCCAGUUUUCAUGCAUGUACAUGUGCCUAUAUCAUGUGUUUGAUGACAACAAGCAUGGACUCAGCUUGCUGGUGGCAAUACCUUUUUGUCGAGUGUUGCAAAUCUGGAUUGGGUAAGUUGAGCUGAUGACCUUCUGUAUCAAGUUGUUCUGCAAUGGUUGAUAAUAAAAAGAAUCUUCAGAUUUAAUCGAGAGGUAUAUCUUAGGUGAAAAAGAAUCAAACUCUAUCUGAUCAUUGUGAGACUUUACUUAUAUAUUUAUAUUACUAAAUCAUGAAUAUCUUGAUUUCUUCUAAGAAUAGUUUCUCCAUACGUUCCAAGUUAUACCUGGUCAAUAGCCUGUCUUCUACCAUGCAUAUAUGUUGUUACUUGUUUUUGGCACAAGUGUCAUGGCAAGAACCACGAUGGUGAUCAUUCUAAGAAGUAGAAUUAUGGCCAGUUAGAUACAAACUAAUUUUGUACUCAGUUUUAUUUCAGAAGAGUGCAUGUCGCGCUGCUACUCUUUUGCAAGAUACACUUUCCAUUGUUACUCCUUGCCUCCUUGGUAUCACGAAUCGUGGGCCAGCCAACAAAAUCUUUACUCAUUCACUUCUUCGAAAUCGCAAGAUUUUGGUUUCUUAUAUACAGUUAUGAUUUAGUUUGUUUAUGGAUAUUGUGUAGAAGAGAACUUACUAUAUUACCCUUAACUGACAAUAUAUUUUUCCCUUCCAUUUUUCUUACAGAUCUUUUGAAGAUGUGUGUGAAGUUUAGUUACCUCUUGGUCUCAUGAUCUGUCAGGUCCUUUCAAUUAUCAGCAGUGGCGGAGCCACCUCCUGGCAACCCCAGGCUCUGCCCGGGCUCAUCCGGUAAGCGUCUGUUUAGAGCAGUGCUAUUCCUACCUUCAAUGGCAGCAGUUGUUUGGGCAAACUUUCACUAGCGCAGCAUCAGUUAAGGUCUGCCCUGGCUUCCAUGACUGACAAGCUCCGCCACUGAUUAUCAGGUGUUUGCAGAAUUCACCAAAGCAGAGAAUCAGAGAGAAAAUGAUGUUUGUUGAAUGUACUAUUGAUUGGCCUUGAAGCUCUGUGGUCAUUUUUUUUGGUAAGGCUACUAAUAUAAGAGAAAAAACAGUGAGUGACAUUUUCACUAAGUUUCAGAACAAGGCCAUACAACAAGGUAGUAUUUGUAUAGAUUGAAGUUCAGCUAAAUAGGUCCAAUUGGUCCAGUAAUUUCCAUUCUCUAUCCAACAUCUGCUAGCAAGUACUUGGCAGUUAUAGUAUUUCUCUUUGCUAAGAUCGUAUGCUAUUCUUUACUGAAGUAGGAGAAAUGCAGUUCUCAGGUAAACUUUGAUGUUGAAUACACUGCUGUUAUAUUUCAAUAAUAAAUAUGCCAAGAUAUGUAUUUUUGUGUCGCGUCAUUAACGUUACGAUGGCACUGUCAGAUCCAUGCCUCCUCGCACACUCGCCGAGACAUUUUCCAAAUACAUACACAGCUUCAAUGUCCAAACUCAUAUUUUUAGCGCCUCUUUCGCUAAAAUCUUCUUGAUUCUGAGCGCUGGUACUAGAAAGCAUAAUCCAAGUUAGUAAAGAAGCACGUUGCAGAUUAGGAGGUCCCACUCUUUUUUAGGCCAGCGGUGAUUGCAUAGAACUUCCUUUGAGAAACCCGAGCAAACUUCCCUUAGUUUGUGCCUCUUGGUUUUCCUAAUUCUCUUUUGUUCUUUCUGACUUAUAACUGAACUAGACGACUUGAAUCUGGUCGGAGGUAGAGCAUGAAGGUGAUGGUACAGAAGUUUCACGACCACGAUAAGGUUAAGUCCCAUGCUUAAUUUAGCUUCCUUUUCUUUGUAGCAUGGUCGAGUGUUAUCACAUUACCCACCAAGAUUUGAUCUUUGAGUUUUCUCAUCUUUUGACCAUACAAAGUGCACUUAAAUUCAGGUAAUGUAGAAAGUGCAAAAAAAUUCUGCGGCAAAUUUGUUUUUACCUUGGAUAUGCUAUUUGGGCUGGUCCUUUAGGUGGAUUUUUUUUCCUAAGUACUAAAUCCUUUUGGAAGACAACCUGCUCCAGUUUUGGAGAGGGCAACGACUGGUUCGCCUGCUUCUUUGUCUUAGCAGUUCCCAGUACACAAUCACUUAUUAGUCUUUUUUACUGUUGGUAAAACUAAGUGAGUUUCAUGGGAGCAUAUGUUGGUGUUGUUGCAGUUUCUGCUUCCUCUGUCAGACGAAAGAAUUGGAUAGCGCUUGCACAUUCCGCGUGUCUUAAUUUCGGGUGUUUCAAUCUCCACAAUCAGACACAUAUGAUUAUUGUUACAUAGAUAUUAAUGUAUGAUCUUCGAACUGGUAAAGAUUG